GACGAACGCUGGCGGCGUGCCUAAUACAUGCAAGUAGAACGCUGAAGGAGGAGCUUGCUCUUCUGGAUGAGUUGCGAACGCGUGAGUAACGCGUAGGUAACCUGCCUGGUAGCGGGGGAUAACUAUUGGAAACGAUAGCUAAUACCGCAUAAGAGUAGAUGUUGCAUGACAUUUACUUAAAAGGUGCAAUUGCAUCACUACCAGAUGGACCUGCGUUGUAUUAGCUAGUUGGUGGGGUAACGGCUUACCAAGGCGACGAUACAUAGCCGACCUGAGAGGGGGGUCGGCCACACUGGGACUGAGACACGGCCCAGACUCCUACGGGAGGCAGCAGUAGGGAAUCUUCGGCAAUGGACGGAAGUCUGACCGAGCAACGCCGCGUGAGUGAAGAAGGUUUUCGGAUCGUAAAGCUCGGUUGUAAGAGAAGAACGAGUGUGAGAGUGGAAAGUUCACACUGUGACGGUAUCUUACCAGAAAGGGACGGCUAACUACGUG
rnacentral:rRNA from 1 species